AUUGAACGCUGGCGGCAUGCCUUACACAUGCAAGUCGAACGGCAGCGGACCUUCGGGUGCCGGCGAGUGGCGAACGGGUGAGUAAUGUAUCGGAACGUACCUUUCAGUGGGGGAUAACGUAGCGAAAGUUACGCUAAUACCGCAUAUUCUGUGGGCAGGAAAGCAGGGGAUCGCAAGACCUUGCGCUGAUUGAGCGGCCGAUAUCAGAUUAGCUAGUUGGUGAGGGUAAAGGCUCACCAAGGCGACGAUCUGUAGCGGGUCUGAGAGGAUGAUCCGCCACACUGGAAGUGAGACACGGUCCAGACUCCUACGGGAGGCAGCAGUGGGGAAUUUUGGACAAUGGGGGCAACCCUGAUCCAGCCAUGCCGCGUGAGUGAAGAAGGCCUUCGGGUUGUAAAGCUCUUUCGGUCGGGAAGAAAUCGCAUGGGUUAAUACCCUGUGCGGAUGACGGUACCGGCAUAAGAAGCACCGGCUAACUACGUGCCAGCCGCCGCAGUAACAC
rnacentral:rRNA from 1 species